rnacentral:rRNA from 1 species
GAUGAACGCUGGCGGCGUGCCUAAUACAUGCAAGUCGAGCGAACAGAUGAGAAGCUUGCUUCUCUGAUGUUAGCGGCGGACGGGUGAGUAACACGUGGGUAACCUACCUAUAAGACUGGGAUAACUCCGGGAAACCGGGGCUCAUACCGGAUAAUAUUUUGAACCGCAUGGUUCAAUAGUGAAAGACGGUCUCUGCUGUUACUUAUAGAUGGACCCGCGCCGUAUUAGCUAGUUGGUAAGGUAACGGCUUACCAAAGCCACGAUACGUAGCCGACCUGAGAGGGUGAUCGGCCACACUGGAACUGAGACACGGUCCAGACGCCUACGGGAGGCAGCAGUAGGGAAUCUUCCGCAAUGGGCGAAAGCCUGGCGGAGCAACGCCGCGUGAGUGAUGAAGGUCUUCGGAUCGUAAAACUCUGUUGUUAGGGAAGAACAAAUUUGUUAGUAACUGAACAAAUCUUGACGGUACCUAACCAGAAAGCCACGGCUAACUACGUGCCAGCCGCCGCCGUAA